rnacentral:rRNA from 1 species
UACGGAGGGUGCAAGCGUUAUCCGGAUUUACUGGGUUUAAAGGGUGCGUAGGUGGAUAAUUAAGUCAGUGGUGAAAUCUUCAGGCUUAACCUGGAAACUGCCAUUGAUACUAUUCGUCUUUGAAUACUUUGGAGGUAAGCGGAAUAUGUCAUGUAGCGGUGAAAUGCUUAGAUAUGACAUAGAACACCAAUUGCGAAGGCAGCUUACUACACAGUAAUUGACACUGAGGCACGAAAGCGUGGGGAUCAAACAGGA